rnacentral:rRNA from 1 species
CGAAAAAUUUAAAAGGUAAAACGGGAAUCAAUUAGAGUUUGAUCCUGGCUCAGGGUGAACGCUGCGCGGCGUGCCUUAAUACAUGCAAGUCGCAGCGGGGCAGGUUUAUGCCUGUUCAGCGGCGGACGGGUGACUACCCCCUGGGUGACCUACCCGGGAGAGGCGGACAACCUGGGGAAACUCAGGCUAAUCCGCCAUGUGGUCCUGUUCUGUGGGGCGGGACCAAAGGGUGGAUAGCCCGCUUCCGGAUGGGCCCGCGUCCCAUCAGCUGGUUCGUGGGGUAAAGGCCCACCAAGGCGACGACGGGUAGCCGGUCUGAGAGGAUGGCCGGCCACAGGGGCACUGAUACACUNUUCCCCACUCCUACCGGAGGCANCAGUUAGGAAUUUUCCGCAAUGGACGGAGGUCUGACGGAGCGACGCUGCUUGGAGGAGGAAGCCCUUCGGGGUGUAACUCUUGAACUGGGGACGAAAGCCCUGUGUAGGGGGAUGACGGUACCAGGUAAUAGCGCCGGCCAACUCCGUGCCAGCAGCCGCGGGUAAUACGGAGGGCGCGAGCGUUACCCGGAUUUACUGGGCGUAAAGGGCGUGUAUGCGGCUUGGGGCGUCCCAUGUGAAAGGCCCCGGCUCACUUGUGGAAGGAACGUGGAAAACCUCAGGCUAAAAGGUGGGGAAGGUGGUGGAAUUUCCUGAUUAUCUG